GGCCCUGCUAGAGAGAGCGGCGGGGCAGGUGCACUCCUGCCUUCAGACAGGGCCCAUGCUAGAGAGCGCGGCUGGGCAGGUGCGCUCCUGCCUUCAGACAGGGCCCUGCUAGAGAGAGCGGCUGGGCAGGUGCACUCCUGCCUUCAGACAGGGCCCUGCUAGAGAGAGCAGCUGGGCAGGUGCACUCCUGCCUUCAGACAGGGCCCUGCUAGAGAGAGCAGCUGGGCAGGUGCACUCUGCCUUCAGACAGGGCCCUGCUAGAGAGAGCAGCUGGGCAGGUGCACUCUGCCUUCAGACAGGGCCCUGCUAGAGAGAGCAGCUGGGCAGGUGCACUCCUGCCUUCAGACAGGGCCCUGCUAGAGAGAGCAGCUGGGCAGGUGCACUCUGCCUUCAGACAGGGCCCUGCUAGAGAGAGCGGCUGGGCAGGUGCACUCUGCCUUCAGACAGGGCCCUGCUAGAGAGAGCAGCUGGGCAGGUGCACUCCUGCCUUCAGACAGGGCCCUGCUAGAGAGAGCGGCUGGGCAGGUGCACUCCUGCCUUCAGACAGGGCCCUGCUAGAGAGAGCGGCUGGGCAGGUGCACUCUGCCUUCAGACAGGGCCCUGCUAGAGAGAGCGGCUGGGCAGGUGCGCUCCUGCCUUCAGACAGGGCCCUGCUAGAGAGAGCGGC